GGUGUUCGGGAGGAUCGUGCGCGCCUGUCCGGUAUCUAUCGUCCAAGUCUUCAUGAACGAGGCGAGCAACCCAYAGAGGGUGUCAGGCCCGUAGCUUAGACGAGCCGAGACCGUGCAUCGGAUCCCUUCCCAAGAGUCGGGUUGCUUGAGCGUGCAGCCCUAAGCGGGAGGUAAACUCCUUCUAAGGCUAAAUAUCGCCACGAGACCGAUAGCGAACAAGUACCGCGAGGGAAAGUUGAAAAGAACUUUGAAGAGAGA
rnacentral:rRNA from 2 species